rnacentral:rRNA from 1 species
CCCGCUGAACUUAAGCAUAUCAAUAAGCGGAGGAAAAGAAACUAACAAGGAUUCCCUCAGUAGCAGCGAGUGAAGCGGGAGGAGCUCAAAUUUAAAAUCUGGCGUAACAGCCCGAGUUGUAAACUAAAGAGGCGCUAUCGGACAUGAUCUGGCUGCACAAGUCUCCUGGAAUGGAGCAUCACAGAGGGUGAGAAUCCCGUCUGGGCAGCUGGCGCGUGGCCAUAUGAGGCGUUCUCAAAGAGUCGAGUUGUUUGGGAUUGCAGCUCAAAAUGGGUGGUAAAUUUCAUCUAAGGCUAAAUAAUGGCAAGAGACCGAUAGCAAACAAGUACCGUGAGGGAAAGAUGAAAAGCACCUUGAAAAGGGAGUUAAAAGCGCGUGAAAUUGUUAAAAGGGAAACAAUUGAAGCCAGUAGGGCCAAGUUUGUUCAGCGGUACCCGCGGAGCAGUGUUGUGAUGAGAAUGUGUAAAUCGUCUCUAGCAAUAUGCGCAAGUGGACUGCCGUGUAUUCAGGCUUGGUUGGUCAGUCUCGAUUUGGGCUGCCGGAAAAGGACUUGGGGAAGGUGGACAUUCGCUUCGGCGCUUGUCUUUAUAGACCCUCGUAGAUACGGUGGACCAGAUCGGCUACGACAGUAGCUAAAAGACUCUGUGGAUCUGCGGCCGUGGACCUGCAAGACUCAAUUGAGACUCGCGGGGCAUCUGGCUGGGAGAAGCGGGGUAGUAUGCUGCGGUGAGUGCUGACGUAAUGGCUUUAAAUGUCCCGUCUUGAAACACGG